UUUCCGUAGGUGAACCUGCGGAAGGAUCAUUAUUGUAUAAUCGAGGUGCCAGGGCCGUCGCUGACCCGCACGGUCGUGCACGCUCCAGUGCCCUCGCACACAUCCAUCUCACCCCUAUGUCCACCACCGCGUGCCUCCCCCCUUGGCUUUAUCGGAGGGGGUCUUACGUUUUCUCCCCACCUUUGUCUGCAGUGUAGCAUGUAUUUUUUGUUUUUGCGUUCCCUCAAUCAAUACAACUUUCAACAACGGAUCUCUUGGCUCUCGCAUCUAUGAAGAUCC
rnacentral:misc_RNA from 1 species